CUGGAAAUGACUUUUGGAUUUGGAAUUUCACCGCCAUUUUGAACUUCCAAUAUUCUAUAUAUUUGUAUAUAUUUUUUAUAUUCUUUGUGUGCUCUGAAUUUAUACUUCUAGCAGCGAGUUGGUGAAUCUGAAAAUCAGAAAGUAAAGGUAACAUUUUACAGACAAUGUGACCACUUUAUUAUUAAUUAAUAAAUUAACUGUCAAAUUAUUAGAGGCCUACAGUAAAAUCAAAACUCAAAAGCCUGUACUGCCUAUAUAUGCAGGUAUCAGCGGCUUUCCCAGGGGGGUCGACCCCCGGGCCACCCCGGGGAUUUGUCAAAACAGCCUUGACAAAAGGACACUAAUGCCCGUGGGUUGGGGCAAAAUUUUGUCACAAACGCCCAGUGUUCAGCAAAGUACUCAAAAUUUUUACUUAAGUAAAAGUGAAAAGUAACACCUCAAUUUUUACUUAAGUAGAAGUAAAAGUACUGACUGAAAAUUUUACUUAAGUAAAAGUAAAAGUAUUGCCUGAAAAUUUUACUUAAGUAAAAGUAAAAGUAUUGCCUGAAAAUUUUACUUAAGUAAAAGAAAAGUACUGGAAAAAUAUACUUAUUAGUAAAAGUACUACUGAAAUAGAAUAUAAAUUCGUGAAAUUUGGGCGGAAGUAAACCGGAAGUAACAGCCCUGAGCCAAGCACAUUCCCACAAUCCCACCAAGUCCCACCCAAUCCCACCAGUCCGUUUUAAUAAGAAAUACUUUUUUAAAAUUUUUACUUCUCCAAAAUAUAACAAAAGUAACGAAGUAAAAAAGUAAAUAUUUACCAAAAAUCGUACUUCGUUACAAGUAAAAAGUACUUCAUUAAAAAAAUACUUCGUUACAAGUAAAUACUGAUUUUUUUACUUAAGUAAAGUAACGAAGUAAAUUUACUUCGUUACUGGCUAACACUGCAAAUGAAAUGCCCCUACCUCCGGGGCGAAAUUUGGAAAACAAUAAUUUCAAAUAUAACAAAUGGUUAUUUACAAAGAAAUUUGUAGUAAGUUAAUAUACUUAUUAACAUAAUUUUGGGCAUCUCGUUCAAUAAACAAUGAAGCGUAGGCCGUAAAGAAGAUAUUUUUUAACUAAAAAUUCAUACACAAUUUUAUAUCGGGACAUUUGUUAUUAAUAUGUUUGCUAUUUUAACCUAUUUAAUAAAUCAGUAUCCGAUACAAAACGUUUAAAAAGUUUGUGUCCUUUAUAGUUUCAAACAAUUAUUCUGGUGUUUCCAACUUUUAUUGAGGAUAGAUGGCUAAUUAUUCAUUUAUAAAUAAAAGGAUUAAAUUACAUUCACCUACCAUCGAUUGCUACUAAGCGGAAACACGUCAUGAGAAAACGCCUGCAUCGUACCCAGGCGGUAUGUUGUUCUAUUGCUCGCGUGGCCUUUGCGUGGGACGCGUGCCGUCCCACGUGUACAAACCAAAGCGCCUGGGUACAAGGCAGAGAAAACGCAAUCUAUAAAUUGGACAUAGCUUGCGUAGCCAGCGGUUUGCCUCGCCUCCCUAAUUUUCGCUGCCCGCGCCUCAACCCCAACCCUUAAAACUGCCGGCUACGCAGGCUAAUUGGACAUGAAACAUAACAUGUUUGGACUUCAAACUUUACAUGAUUUUGCUGGAAACAUUAGACGGUUUACAAUUAUUUUUUCCGCGAAAACGUAACAAAGUUAGUACAAACAUUGCAAACUGCAAUACUGAAUUUGUCCACUAUAAACACAAAAUAUAAGGCCUGUUUCAUACGUCGAAUUUAAUUCAGACGAAUUUAAUCACGGAUUUAGUGUUUGCAAGCUAAUCCCCGCCCAAUAUGAAUGUGUUUCUAAAUUUGAAAUAUUGACAGUUGACUGUGAGUGUCAAUAUUUCAAAUCCAAAUUUCAAGUCCAAACAAAUCAUGUUUGACAGCCAAUUGGACAUGUUUUCUCAUGACAUGUUUCUGCUUUAUAGUUGCAAUCAACGGUAUAUUGUUCAUGUGCUUCGAAAUGCUUCGAAUUUGCUUCGAACUUCGAAGGUUCGAAGCGUCUUCAAAAAUCAUAAUUAAGAAUUUUUUUGAUGAAUCACCGCUGACCGAUAUAGCAGCAGUCCAUAUGCAAAUCCCGGGCGUUUGCCCCCGGGGUUAAUUUUCAAAAUACAAAUGUUGGCUAAAUCCCGGGUCGUGAUUUUAAAACAAAUUCCGUGCCAUGCCCGGGGGUUGCCCGUGAGUUGCCUGGAGGUCGACCCCCUGGGAAAGCCGCUGAUACCUGCAUUAUCUUAUUUGUUUAGUUGUAUAAUCUGGGGAAGUUAUGUGAAUCAUGUGAUGGGGGGGGGGGAGAUUAUGUGAUAUGGUGCUACCUGGCAUACAUACGGUAAUCAAUGAAAUGACCCUGUAUGGAAUGAGACUUUUGUGCACCGGACAUGUGCACCAAAUACUAGUAAAUAUAGUGCUGUACAGUGGUACCGGUGCACAGCACUUACAUGCCAUGCCGUAGUGGAUGAAAUCUGCCAGUUUGCACAACGUGGCACAUUUUGACGAGAACUCUGGUGCGCUAAACCAGAUAUCCGAGGUGCCGAUGCAUUUGAAAUCAUCAGGUGUGCACCUGAAAAGUUGUAAAAAUCACUUCAAGUGCAGCUCUCUUACCAGGGUUUUAGCUAGGAUUUCCAAUUUUGGGCGUGUUUUAAAUUUUUUUGGGAGUGUACUCAUCGAGUGCCGUAGGCACAAUAAUUCUGGGGGCUCCGGGAACACACCCCCCCCCCCAGGAAAUUUUUAAAGACUUGCAUCUCUGAAAUGACGUUUCCAGUAUUCUAAGAGCACAUUUUAUGAAAGUGUUCAGGUUUUUAAAAGACCUUGUUAAUGUUUGUUCGUUCACUGCAACCAGGUAUAUCAAUCAUGUUUCGCUCGCUAACCAGAGUACUGAGAGUAGUGAGUGAAACAAAAUCUUAUCAAUGGUGCAUUUGGUGAUAAAUCACAUGCUUACCCAGAAUAGCACUAGUGAAAGUUUUAUGCAUUCCAAAGUUUCAGCCAAAGACUUUUAAUGUUUUAUCACAUAACUUGCUAAAUGUGCUAAUACCUUCUGUGACCAACAAGGCAACAACACAUGUAAAACAGAACUUUUAUUCAAUUGACCAUUUGUGUAAUAGACUAAAUUUUGAACUAAACAAGUCUAGACAAAUAUUUCAUCACAGCUUGAAGGAGCAUCGCAAAAUUAGUAAUAUUCCAAAGUUUCGUUGCAAAAUGUUGUAAAAUUCGGAAAAUAUAGCCUUGCGAAAUUUGCAAUUUUCAGUCAUUUUAGAUUACAAACGGGAAAUUGACAGCCCCAAACCCUUCGAGGCUGUCAAUUUCCGGUUUGUAAUCUAAAAUGACUGAAAAUUGCAAAUUUCGCAAGGCUAUAUUUUCCACAUUUUACAACAUUUUGCAACGAAACUUUGGAAUAUUACUAAUUUUGUGAUGCUCUUUCAAGCUGUAAUGAAAUUUUUGUUGAGAUCAAAUUUAGUCUAUUACGCAAAUGGUCAAUUUAUACAACAUACACUAAUACAGUAAAUAUAGUUUUGGUAUCUAGUACCACCUGUGUGGCUUCUCGUUAAAUAUAGCUAAAGCAGUAUCUAAAUCAAGGGACUCUCCUGAUGUCUUAGAAUAUGACACUCUCACAAGCUCGUCCAGUAUAUUUAUCCCAAGCCUUGUUCUCAGCUUGGUUUUGACUCUAUUCUGAACGCUAAAUACACGUUCAGCCUCUGCAUUUGAAGGCAUCGUUGUCAAGGUCAAGACCAUAAGCUUGUAUAUUUCUAGAGAAGGGAAGAGCAAACAUUGUAUUCACAUUAUAUGGCAACUGGUAGUAUUAGUAAACUGUUUCUAGGAUUUAGGAAUUUAAUAUGAUGCUAAUGGAAUAAACGUACGUGCAUGGAUAGAUCAUUUUGUUGUCUACAUUGCCACCACCAAAUAGCUUAGUAAAUAAUUCUUGCGGUUUGUAAAAACAGAACUUCAGCUGCUCAUAUUCGUUUCGAUCUUCUCCCCUGUUUUGGUAAACAAGCCGUUUGAAAAACAGGAACUCUUCUUCCGCAGCUUCUGGUUUCACCAAAGCCUGGAUGACUUGAUUCUCCAAACGCUUAGGUUCGCCAUAGAAAUCGAGCAGGUUUUUGAGAUGGUCAUAACCCCAUCCUGCGAGUUGCUGAAGGUUUUCUGGGUAAGCAGAAGGAUCAAAUAUCUAUAAAAUAAUGAGACACUAGAUACUACGGGAUGCUGGAUAAUAAAUAAAAGCUGAUUAACUGUUUUUCUAUUUGACUUCGUUUUUCAAUUUACAUUUGAGCUGUUAACCUUGCUAAGGCUUUUCGUCCACCUUAUACUACAUAUAUAUGUAUACUAAAAAUAUACUGAACUAAAAAACUAUUUUUUUUACAAUGAUUGAUAUUAACUACCUGAAAAGCAGAAAGUAGUUGAACAUUGGGGAACCUUGAUGUGAUGUUGUUUACCAGGGCAUCAAUGAAUGCUUGCCUGUCUGUCUCAAACUCUUCCAACUGAUUCAUUCUUUCGUUUCGAUGAGGAUUAGUUUUUAGGUGAACUCCUUCAAAAAUUAUCUCGUCAGAUCCUUCUUCCACACACUCAAGAAACAUCUGAAGAUACUUUCCAGGUUGAUUCUUCAUAUCUCAACAAAUAUUGGUAGCUAAAGUAAUUAAAUUGAUAUUUAUUCAUCUUAGUUAGUCUCUUAUGAAUUAUAGUAACAACUUUAUAAAUUUUAGUUACAGUACCUGACUUUGCAAUGUAGAAAAUGAAAUAUCUCGAUACUGAAAAAUUCUGCAGAGGUGAUUUGUAGCUCCCACGACGUCACCCAAGAGAUGGAGUAGAGCUACAUAUUUAUACGAGGAUAGCUUUUCCAAAAGUCCCAUCGAAGUAGGCUCAUCGUUAGCAGCUUCUUCUUCAAGCAGAAUAAGCAGGGGGUGGUAAUUAUGAAUCACUGCCUUUACUGCUUCCCCAACAGACAACCACCUUAUAUCAAAAAUCUAAAAAGAAAACAAGUUAAUCAUCCAGUUUCCCUCUUCAAUGGUCCAGGAUCUGCUAUAUUAAUUCAUAAUAUUCAUCUAUAUUAAUUCUUACUCGCUUGAACUUUAGAUACUUUAAGGAUGGUGCAAUGUUCUCGUUUCCUUCUUCAGGUGCAUUGUCAUGAUUAAUCGCACCUAGCACAUCAGCCAAAUUUUUAAACUUUUGAAGCCUGUUAGGUGAGUUGUUCACAUGCUGGUAAAUAGUGCUGAGUAUAGUGGAUAGUGUAUUCACAUUCUUUAUAUCUUUUGCUGCCUUGGAAACAGCAAGGUGAAGUCUGUGGUUAAUGCAGUGAAUACCAAUUAGAAAUGGGUUCUCUCGCUGCAGAAGUCCCAAUACACCAUUCAUAUCACUUGCCAUCACAGAUGCCCCAUCUAUACCUAAACCUGUGAGCUAUAGAAUGUAUUAAUGUUGUAUAAAUUCACAACUGUACUUCAUAAUCUUUUUAAAAUAUUAUUAAUAAGAGAUCACUAAUCUCUGGUCAAAUAUUUCCUGAGUACUCAUUUCAAUUAUGUAAAUGUAAUGUACCUUGUUCACAGGAAUGCUAAAAUCUCCUAGGAUUUUCUUGACAGCUUCAACAAUUGCUGGAGCAGUGCCGCUUGUAAUAACUGAUAAUUUAAGAAAUGAGGUCUUGAUCUUCGUUUCGUUGGAGUCGACAUAUCUAACUACAGCAGCUAUAUGCUUUUCCUGUGACCUAUCUGUGGACUCAUCGAUACCAAGGCCAAUGAAGGGCGAAGAAUUAAGGUGGUUGAGAAUUUUUCUCAGGAAAACCUGUAAUUCCAUACAAUAUAUAAUUUGACUCCACAACAUUAAUUAACAAUAUAACUACUAACUGAAAAAAAACUAUUACAUACCUCACUUAAUGAGUGGAGGAGCUCGUGAAAGGAUUCUGGACUUUCCUUUUUACAAUUCUUUCCUCGAUUCAUUUGAAUGAUGUCCUUGACACCCUGCUCACGUUGGAACUGAAGAAGGCUUGGAUAUUUGCAGUUAGGAAUUUCCUCACUAGAAAUCCAGUAGACUGUUCUUAAAGCUGAUUUAUAAGAACGCGCUUCCUGUUUUUUCAUUUUUUCCCUGGUUUUCACCACUGUGGAUUGCGCUGGAUUACGGGCCAAUGCAAAUCUUGCAUGAUCAUUGCUAGCCAUGUGGACAAGAAGAGUUUUUUUCCUGUAAUUUGUUGAGAAAGCUGUUCUUAAAGCUGAUUUAUAAGAACGCGCUUCCUGUUUUUUCAUUUUUUCCCUGGUUUUCACCACUGUGGAUUGCGCUGGAUUACGGGCCAAUGCAAAUCUUGCAUGAUCAUUGCUAGCCAUGUGGACAAGAAGAGUUUUUUUCCUGUAAUUUGUUGAGAACUAAAAUUUUAAAAAAAAUGUUGGAUUCGUACGUUUUUUGCCAGAUAGAAAUAUAAUCACCUGAAGUUUUGUGUUCCUUGCUCAGCCCACACUCCACAUAUCUUGUUACUUCGACAAAAAUCACACCACAUUGUGUUAUGUUGCACAUCAUAACGUAGCCAUUCUUUAUAUUUAGGAUUCGAAAGCCAUUUUUUAGGAAAUACGGGAGGUGCUCUUGCCUUUUUUCUUUGCUUUCUGGGAGGUAAACUAUUCAUUCUUUUAAGCAGUGGUUGACCUUCUUCCUCGUCGCUGACGCACUCGUAAAAUGAAAAUAUUAAUUUUGAAAUUUUGUUAUUUCAGCAGACAGUAGGAAAUUAGGACAAUGGCAAUUAGAAAGAAAAUUCACGAGGUAGCCUUUCCUAGUUCUCGAUGGGCUUAUCUAUGAAAAGUUGAAAACGAAAGUUUUAAAGAAUACUAUCAUUACCAUAUCAGAGUCCAUUUCCAAGUUCACUGCAACUUCAUGAUCUUCAUCUAGAUGAUCGUUGAAUUCAUCGACAGAAUUAUCCGAAUUUCUUGAUAUUCCUUCCACUGCUUCCAGUGCUUCGGGCCUGUUAAUUAUCCAAAAUGAUAUACUGUAGAUUGUAGAAUCAAGAGUGCAUUCAACAUGCAAUUAUGCAAACAUGCAAAUUUAUUGAUGUUUUGUUAUGUAAAUGAUUGUAAAUGCAAAUGGUGUCAGAUAAUAAUUUAUUAAAUAUUCAAGAAAACUUAUUUCAGUGUUUGAGUAGAACGUCAGUACAAGAUAUAAAUAAAAUACCUUUGGGCAGAAGUGAAAAAAGCUCUUAUGUCUCGUUUCUGUGACGCCAUAUUGCUAUAAAUUUUUCCCGCGUUUUCCCGCCAUGUGGCCAUGUGAGACUUUAAAUUGAUAAACACUAAAGUUUACAUGAAGUAGCCUCACAUGAGGACGCCAUAUUUAUAUUUUGUAAACAUCCAUCAAAACCACAGAUUUUAUAAAUUGACGAGGGUAAAUUCAGUAUCUUUCUUGUAAAGUAUUUAGAAAUAAAUAUUAGUGGAUUUAGGCAUAUUAAUAAUAGUAUAUUUAAAUACAUAUUAUCGCUAAUUUUUGUCUUUAAUUUCAUGUUUUAAACCGACAGCAACACGGCUUUAUAUUAAAUAACCAAGCCGUGUUAGUUUUAUUUUGCCGUGUUUUUCCAUUUUUAGCCGUGCAAACACGGCCAACACGGCCUUCUAGCUAAGACCCUGCAACACAGCAGCCAUUAAAUGCAGAAUCAAUCUACUUUCUCCAUAGAUCUGUCUUGCAAUGCUUACAAAUAUCACCUGCUAACCUCAGCUGUCUUCCUACAACUUGAUUUCCAAGUCACUAUCUCAUUCGGUAGUAAUGCUCAUUAGGUAGGGUUAGUUCAAAAACUAAGGGCCCCCGACAGUUAGGGGCCCCAUCAGCCACGGUCUAUCACCCAUAAAUUAGAAAACUGGUCAAAAGAAGAAUCCAUUGGAAAAUGCAAAAUUAAUAUAAUCUUAUGUUAAAUAUAAAGCUUCUAUCGACAAUGGUAGCUGAUUCUUUUAUUCCAUCUCAAAUAAAACAAAAGUUAUUCUUACUAGUUGUUACAUGUGUUGGGGACUGUUAUUGUUAUAGACACAGAAUUUUCCAGCACAUUCUAUAAAUAUUCAAUAUAAAUAUAAAACUAUAUCUCAGUCAAACAAUGACAGUCAACCUGUAGGGGCCCCCACACCAAAUGUGGCCAAGGGCCCCCUCUUCUUCCAUUAUGCCACUGCUUGAGGGAUCAAGCUAACAAAAGCACUGAGGUCAAGUGCGCUAUAUUUUGUUCAAAAGAGAAUAUUUGCCCUCUGGUACACUUGUGCCACGUUCUGCAAAGUGGGCAAUCUGGUAAUCAAUAUCAAUAAAUCAAUUGGUAUUGGAAACCAAUGACCAAUUAAUCACUUGUAAUAUGACCUUUCAUUGAUUGUCAAUUGAUUAUUGACGUGAACUGAUUUUUUGCUCAUGGAUGUUGCGAAACAACAUCUGUGAGUCUUUGUGGUUACUUAAAUGUUGAACAAUGGGAAAUGACCAGCCUGCUUUGCACACACUGUUUGCCUGUGAAUGCGGCCUUUCAGAACCAGAAAUCGGGCUGGAGCACACAUUCGUUCCUUUGAUUUGGCAAAAGAAGCAUGUCUAAUGGCAAAUUUAGCACGGUGCCCACAUUUGCAAGAACAACUGCAAACUGGUCUAAUUCUUUCUGUCACUUUCAUUUUAUCUCACCUGUGAGUCGGCUUCAACAGCCUUUGAUUGUCAAUUGAGAAAAGGAAAGUUAAUUGCAUGUCAUUUAAAACAGUGAUGGUGAAAUUUUAUAGUUUGCAGCAUAUGCAUUUGUUUAUUGUCAAAACAAAACAAACAUGAAUGCAUUUACUGUAUGUCUGUUUAAUUGAUUCAUUGUGCAAAUCCUUUGUGGCCAAAAUUGGAUGACGAAAGUGCAAUUUCUUGGAGAUAAAGGCUCCCAAAAAAGCUAGAGAAACAACAUCAAGGUGAAAGUAAGGGGCUCACCAUUAUUAUUGACAUUGAAUCUCAUGUCCGAUCUGGGCUUCCCCGUGGUGAAGUGACUGAGAAAUGCGAAGAUCAGGAUGAGGGGAGGGGUCCCGCCGUUAAGGACCUUGUUUGCUUUUGGUGGUGCAUGCUUCAUUGUGGUUGACGUGUGGCCACUUUCUUUAUUUCUUCGCAAACAUAUCAAAUUACUUAAAAGUUGAAAAUUAAAGCAAAACAAUAUAAGAUUAAGAUAUGAUUACAAUUUAUUUCUUAGUUCAUGAUUAAAUUGAUUAUUGUACACUUAUCCUUCAUCAAAGGGUUAGGUAUCUUGGAUUUUCCUUUUAUGUGUCUCAAUGGCCUUUGGAACCAAAGUGGACUGAAAUCAAAUUUAUCUAGUACCCUUUUUGCUGAUAACUGAAAAAUUGGCUUAGCAAUAAGGGAUUAUGAUGGCUUCUCUCAAAAAGUCUAAAUCCAUAGAGAAAUUGGGGGGGGGGGGGAUACACAUUACAUUCUCGAAGUUAAAGUCUCGAUCUAAGACAACGACGAUUUACUGGAGGAGCUUCAUGUGUAAACUCUCGUUAAAGCAUUUGUAUAUAUGAUUCCAAGAAGAAUGGAUUUAGUUUAGAUUUUCAACUGUUAAAUUGGCAUGUGUAUCAUUACCAUAGCAUUGAAUAUUUUUUCUCAAAUUUAUUAUGUAUCUUAUGAAAAGUAAUGCAAUUUUGAGAAUGCGAGAAAUGCGUCUCAUAGAAUUAUCUAAAUGCAAAAUUUCCGAUCAAAUUGGUUAUUGCCCCCGAUCGGCAUCACGCACACAAGGAAAAUAAGCUGACACGGACUCCUCUUCCAGUUUUCCGAGGUGACUUUUCUAUGCAAUUCAUUUAGAUCCGAAGAGAAAUAUCUGGUAAAAAAUCAUGUCUUUGAUGUACUUUAUAAUCCUCGGAAUUCUGCAAAAUUUCACCCCUAAAAUGCUUCGAAUAGCUGUUGUUACGCCACUGACAAACUAGUCAGUAGGAAAUAGGAGUUGAGCAGCCGAUUUUGAAUGACAUCAUUUAUAUAUUUUCCAGUUUGAAAAUUAAAAGCCAUAAUUCACAUUAUUAUUUUGCAACCCUGCCCGUCGCCUAAUUUAGAUAACAUGUUGAUGAUUUAGAAUAAAGAGGUUAUUUUUAAAAUCAUUUGAAUUCGAUCUCCCAAGGAGAGAUGUUGUAAAUAUACAGACAGCUUGUCUGCUAUAAGUAAUUAUACACUUUAAUCUAUUGCCAAAAGCUAAAAGCAUUUUUAAAUUAAUUGAUAAUUUUCCGUAAUUUGGAGAUAAAAAGAUAUUCCCUAUCGCGUAUGUUUUUUUUUGGUUUUUUUUAUUUUGCUUAAUUUAGAUAUUUCGUUAUCUUGAUACCAUUGUAAUAAACUACAAAAAGAUCCUUGACCUUGUAGGACCUACUUAACAUCUACGCUUCUCACGAAUCACUAAAUAAAUUAAUGUUUACGAAUUUUAACUGUUAAUGUUUACGAAUUUUAACUGUUACAACUACGUGAAAUAGGGUGUGUUUGUGCCACAAUGGCAAGUGCCUUUUAUUUGUACAUCCCUGUACCUCUGAUAGAGUUCUUUCAGAGUCCCUGACUCAACCAAACACAACUAACCUCAAUAUUCAAUUUAGAACUGAUAGAGCUAUGCAGUAUCAGAACUAGAAAGUUAGAUUAGUUUUCAUUUUCUACUGUCUAGUACUGUUGUAUACUGAACCACUAUCGGUGAGAAAAGCAGUUUAGCACCGAAAUAGCUAGCUAUCCAUUAUCAACAUCGAUAUUAAACUCGGAACUUGAAACUUUAAGUUAGUUUAGGUUUCCUUACGUUCACUUAUAAUAUAUACUAUGUUUAUUGGUCGAGCAGAAUCGUAAAAGGUUGUGUUUCAAGUCGCAGAAUCGUAAGCAGUGGCGUAGUUUAUGGGCGACAUUUAUCGCCACAAAAACCAUCCUAAAUGCAACAUUCCGAUUAAAAUGAAAUUGAGUUUUUUCCUCCCAGCAUCAUAGAGGGGAAAUAAGCUGACACGGACCCCUCCUCCAGUUUUCCAAGAUGACUUUUCCAAUUAUUUAUUUCCGAAAACAAAUGUCUGGGAAAAGGUACGUUUUUGAGAUCAUAAAAAAUCAUGUCUUUGAUGUACUUUAUAAUCAUUGGAAUUCUCCAAAAUGUCACACCAAACUGCUUGAAAUUGCAUUUCAGGAACUCCAGAUUUCAAACUUUUGCCGAGGGAACAUGCAUGCCCGGAACGAGCCAUGCUUUUGGUUUUCACUUCGCCCCUCCAAAAAUGUGGCCCUGGCUACGCCACUGUUGUUGGCCAGCCGGCAAACAUUUUCUAGCUCCGUAAAUGUGCCCAGAUUUUUCUAGCAGUUGUUUGAAAGUUACUAAAUCGAGAAACAUUUUACCAAAUUUCGUCCUUACCCCAUGUACAUGCACCACUAUGAAGACCCUGGAGACGAGGUUGAUCAACAUAGCAGAAGUUUGAAUAAGUGUUAGCUAAAUGUAUGGGUAAAUUCUUACGUCAAAUAUAAGUAUCAUUUCCUAUUCCGUGUUUAAGAUUAGUGGGUUUUGCUAUUAGUAGCUUAUAGCAAUAACAUCUCUGUUAUACAAGACAUCAUUCAAACACAAAACUCUACCGAAAAAUUACUGAAAAAUUAUAAUCUCUCAUCAAAAUCUCAAAUCUCUAAAAUCCUUCCAAAAUUGAUGACUCGUUUUUUCUGCAGAGGUGCUUCCCCUAGCGGGACUUUCCCUUCCAUCUAGUCAGUCCAAUCAGCUAGCUGCACGAGUGAACACAUACUUGUUGACGAUGUUGAUUUUUAAGUAAAAUACAGCCUACAUCGUUCGUAGUCGGGUGUUUAGGUCCCCAAAACAAGCACAAUGGCAAAACUACAAGAGUAUACGAAAGUGAACACAAUGGAUCCGGAAGAAUCACAAGUACAUGUAAAUUUAACAGAAGGAAAAUUAACAGCAUCAUGUACCAUAAAACGUAUCUUGUUGGGCAUUGUGAUCGGUGUUGCACUUUGUCUAGCUUUUUUCGCAUUUCUCUGUUCAAUCAUUUUACUUAAGAAAGUAAACGAGUUUAACAAACAGAGGCUAAACGACGCAAAAGACGAAAUCCGUUUCAUACCACGAAUCAGCGCUCGUAUUGACGGCGAAAUUCAACGGAUGAGGACGAAGGAUAAAUCUGCCCCAAACACUAGACAUGAAUUGCGACAAAGCUUUGAAGAUAUAAAGGACCACUUGAACGUUCUUGUUUUCACCGUUGGAAACCUAAGCGCAGUUGUUCUAAUAGCGAAUAGCUCCUUGGACUCGAAAAUGUCUCGUUUGCGCUGGAAUUUGAAUGAUACUAAUAAUAAACUAAUGCGUCUUCAAACGCAACUGACGCAAUUGAAUUACUCUGUUCGUAGAGAUGUGCUACCCUUCGUUGUUGCAGCCGUGAACGAGCUAAGGCAAGAGCUAAAUGUACUACGAAAUUCAACCUCGACCAAUGUUAGCGAACUGUGGAAACACUGGAAUCAAACGAACUCAGAAGUCGAAGAUAUCGUAAAAUUGAUGGUGCAGCAAAACAAAACUUUGCAUUUCAAAAUGGCAUAUAAAUCAGACUUCUUGUUCUCGGAGAAAACUGUCGAAAAAAGACUUCAAGAGAACGUUGAGAACCAAAUCGCACUAGCCAACAAAACUUGGCACAAAGCACUUGAAGAUGCCAUUGGAUCUCUUCUUUCGUCCGUGGCAAAAAUAGAUGUAAAGGUGGACGGUAUAAAACAAGAGCUUCAAAAAAACAUAAACAAUAAUAUCAACAUACAGAGAGAAGUGAAAGACGAUUUCUCAAAAGCGAAAUCACAGUUCCAAGAAAAAGACCGGAAACACGACUUAGCAAUUUCCGGUCAUGACUCAACAAUGGAAAGCAUGAAAAAAAGAAUUGCGAAACUGGAAGCUGAAAGAAAGCUGGAUUUGCAAAUGAUUGGGGAGCAGAAGCAAGAAUUACAAGAGCUUCAAAAAAGCAUGAACAAUGAUAUCAACGAACAGAAAGAAAUGAAAUACGAUUUCUCGAAAACGAAAUCAAAGUUCCAAGAAAAAGACAGGGAACAUGACUCGAAAAUGGAAAGCAUAAAAGAAAGAGUUGGGACACUGGAAGCUGAGAAAAAGCUGGAUUCACAGAUGAUUGCGAAGCAGAAGCGAGAAAUGCAAGAUUUAAAGGAAGAAAAAGACAGGGAACAUGACUCAAAAAUGGAAAGCAUGAAAGAAAGAAUUGCGACACUGGAAGCUGAGAAAAAGCUGGAUUCGCAGAUGAUUGCGAAGCAGAAGCGAGAAAUGCAAGAUUUAAAGAACAGAGUUGAAAAGAUGGAAAACGGAGCAAAUGGAUUGCCGAAAACUAACAUUCGAUUUAUUUUUGUACUUCUUGUUACUACUGCCGGGCUGCCUUACAUGUCUUAAAUUAGUUGAUAAAAGGAGAUUGAACCUUGCAUGUUUAGAACCUUGAUGAAUGAUGAAUAAAGAAGUAAAUAUAGUAAAGUUGGUUACUGCAUAUUGGCUAUCAUAUAUAUAACAUUACUGUAAGUAAUAUAGUAUCGGGAAAAAAUGCGAUGAACAAUCACAUUAGGGCAAAAAUAUAGAAAGUAGAAAGUAACCAUUUGAUGUUGAAAUUGCAAGCUUAUGGCUGUAAAUAGAUCGUUAAAAUUUAAGAUUUUAGUUUGAGAUUUUGUAGUUUUUGUAAUAUUAUGAUAAUUUUUACAGAUUAAAUAUUUUUCGUGCACACAUUCCGUGUUAUUUAUUUAUUGUGGUGUUUUAAUCUUGUAUAUUAAACGCAUCUGAUUGGUUAAGGUCUCUCAAUGGUAGUGAAAGCCAAAUCUAAACAUCACUAUAUUCGAUUGCCUGAAUUUCUGACAAAACUGUAAUUUACACUUAAGAUUUGGCUGUUUUUUAAUAAGCGGCUUUUUGGAGGAAGGGGCGGUCGAGGGUUAAAAUUUAGUAAUCGUAAGUCGUACCCCCGUUGGAGUUUGACCAGGAUUCAUUCUCAUCCCCAGACUGCUAGUGUUAAUUCGCUUGGUGGUCCCCGUUGAUUCCCAUGCUUACCUCCAUUCAAAGGUUGGCUACUAGCAGAAGAAUAAAAUCAAAUGUACCGAAUUGGCAGGAAAUAAGAUGUGCGAAUGGGUCAAAGGAAAAUUACUGCAGUGGUAAUCGGCCUUCGUAGUAGCCUAAGUGUAUGGUCAACUUGUGAAAUAUUGUGAUCAAUAGUUUCUGCAUCAUGUGGAAAAAUUGUAGCAGUUUCCAGGGAUCAUAAGUAGC